rnacentral:rRNA from 1 species
UACGUAGGUGGCGAGCGUUGUCCGGAUUUACUGGGCGUAAAGAGCGCGCAGGCGGUCGUGCAAGUCGCGUGUGAAAAGCCCCCCGGCUGCAACUGGGGAGGGUCACGCGAUACUGCUCGACUUGAAGGCAGGAGAGGGAAGUGGAAUUCCCGGUGUAGUGGUGAAAUGCGUAGAUAUCGGGAGGAACACCAGUGGCGAAGGCGACUUCCUGGCCUGUUCUUGACGCUGAGGCGCGAAAAGCUAGGGUAGCAAACGGGAUUAGAUACCCGCGUAGUC